rnacentral:rRNA from 1 species
GACGAACGCUGGCGGCGUGCUUAACACAUGCAAGUCGAACGGAAAGGCCCUGCUUUUGUGGGGUGCUCGAGUGGCGAACGGGUGAGUAACACGUGAGUAACCUGCCCUUGACUUUGGGAUAACUUCAGGAAACUGGGGCUAAUACCGGAUAGGAUCUCCUGCUGCAUGGUGGGGGUUGGAAAGUUUCGGCGGUCGGGGAUGGACUAGCGGCUUAUCAGCUUGUUGGUGGGGUAGUGGCUUACCAAGGUUUUGACGGGUAGCCGGCAUGAGAGGGUGACCGGCCACAUUGGGACUGAGAUACGGACCAGACUCCUACGGGAGGCAGCAGUGGGGAAUAUUGCACAAUGGGCGGAAGCCUGAUGCAGCAACGCCGCGUGCGGGAUGACGGCCUUCGGGUUGUAAACCGCUUUCGCCUGUGACGAAGCGUGAGUGACGGUAAUGGGUAAAGAAGCACCGGCUAACUACGUG